AGGUUGAUGAAGUUAAGGUAGAGCGACAGUGCGCCGGUGAUUGCCGCGCGCUCCGCCACGUCGCCACCCUGGCUGGCGUAGCCGUAGAUGUAAUCGUUCUUCAGGCGCUGGGUGUCCCAGGCGGUGAGGCCGGCGAACACCAGCACGCCGAUCACCGAGACGAUGAACUGCAACAUCGUGCUGGCGAUGAACAGGUUCACCAGGCUGGCGAGGAUGAUGCCGAACAGGCCCAUCAUCAGGAACGAUCCCAUCCCGGUCAGGUCACGCUU
rnacentral:misc_RNA from 1 species